rnacentral:rRNA from 1 species
CUCCUGACUGACCGAUAGUGAACCAGUACCGUGAGGGAAAGGCGAAAAGAACCCCUGUGAGGGGAGUGAAAUAGAUCCUGAAACCGCAUGCAUACAAGCAGUGGGAGCACCUUCGUGGUGUGACUGCGUACCUUUUGUAUAAUGGGUCAGCGACUUAUAUUCAGUAGCGAGGUUAACCGUAUAGGGGAGCCGUAGAGAAAUCGAGUCUUAAUAGGGCGUUUAGUUGCUGGGUAUAGACCCGAAACCAGGCGAUCUAUCCAUGAGCAGGUUGAAGGUUGGGUAACACUAACUGGAGGACCGAACCCACUGUCGUUGAAAAGCCAGGGGAUGACUUGUGGAUAGGGGUGAAAGGCUAAUCAAGCCUGGUGAUAGCUGGUUCUCCCCGAAAGCUAUUUAGGUAGCGCCUCGGACGAAUACCAUAGGGGGUAGAGCACUGUUUCGGCUAGGGGGUCAUCCCGACUUACCAAACCGAUGCAAACUCCGAAUACCUAUGAGUACUAUCCGGGAGACAGACUGCGGGUGCUAACGUCCGUAGUCAAGAGGAAAACAAUCCAGACCGCCAGCUAAGGCCCCAAAAUCAUAGUUAAGUGGGAAACGAUGUGGGAAGGCAUAGACAGCUAGGAGGUUGGCUUAGAAGCAGCCACCCUUUAAAGAAAGCGUAAUAGCUCACUAGUCGAGUCGGCCUGCGCGGAAGAUGUAACGGGGCUAAAACUAUGUGCCGAAGCUGCGGAUGUAUACUUUGUAUACGUGGUAGGGGAGCGUUCUGUAAGCCGAUGAAGGUGUGUUGAGAAGCAUGCUGGAGGUAUCAGAAGUGCGAAUGCUGACGUGAGUAACGACAAAACGGGUGAAAAACCCGUUCGCCGAAAGACCAAGGGUUCCAGUCCAACGUUAAUCGGGGCUGGGUGAGUCGACCCCUAAGGCGAGGCCGAAAGGCGUAGUCGAUGGGAAAAUGGUUAAUAUUCCAUUACUUCUGUGUAAUGCGAUGAGAGGACGGAGAAGGCUAAAUCAGCCUGGCGUUGGUUGUCCAGGUGAAAGGAUGUAGGCAUGUAUCUUAGGCAAAUCCGGGGUACUCUAUGCUGAGAUCUGAUAGCAAGCUGUACUUGUACAGCGAAGUGGUUGAUGCCAUGCUUCCAGGAAAAGUCUCUAAGCUUCAGUUACACAGGAAUCGUACCCGAAACCGACACAGGUGGUCAGGUCGAGUAGACCAAGGCGCUUGAGAGAACUCUGCUGAAGGAACUAGGCAAAAUGGUACCGUAACUUCGGGAGAAGGUACGCUGUUGUUGGUGAUGGAACUCGCUUCCUGAGCUGACGACAGCCGCAGAAACCAGGCCGCUGCAACUGUUUAUUAAAAACAUAGCACUCUGCAAACACGAAAGUGGACGUAUAGGGUGUGAUGCCUGCCCGGUGCUGGAAGGUUAAUUGAUGGGGUUAGCGUAAGCGAAGCUCUUGAUCGAAGCCCCAGUAAACGGCGGCCGUAACUAUAACGGUCCUAAGGUAGCGAAAUUCCUUGUCGGGUAAGUUCCGACCUGCACGAAUGGCAUAAUGAUGGCGGCGCUGUCUCCAGCAGAGGCUCAGUGAAAUCGAAAUCGCUGUGAAGAUGCAGUGUACCCGCGGCUAGACGGAAAGACCCCGUGAACCUUUACUGCAGCUUGACACUGAACUUUGACCUUACUUGUGUAGGAUAGGUGGGAGGCUUUGAAGCUGGAACGCUAGUUCCAGUGGAGCCGUCCUUGAAAUACCACCCUGGUAAUGUUGAGGUUCUAACUCUGUCCCGUGAUCCGGGACGAGGACCGUGUCUGGUGGGUAGUUUGACUGGGGCGGUCUCCUCCUAAAGAGUAACGGAGGAGUACGAAGGUGCGCUCAGCGUGGUCGGAAAUCACGCGUAGAGUAUAAAGGCAAAAGCGCGCUUAACUGCGAGACCCACAAGUCGAGCAGGUACGAAAGUAGGUCUUAGUGAUCCGGUGGUUCUGUAUGGAAGGGCCAUCGCUCAACGGAUAAAAGGUACUCUG